GACGAACGCUGGCGGCGUGCUUAACACAUGCAAGUCGAACGGAAAGGCCCUGCUUUUGUGGGGUGCUCGAGUGGCGCACGGGUGAGUAACACGUGAGUAACCUGCCCUUGACUUUGGGAUAACUUCAGGCAACUGGGGCUAAUACCGGAUAGGAGCUCCUGCUGCAUGGUGGGGGUUGGAAAGUUUCGGCGGUUGGGGAUGGACUCGCGGCUUAUCAGCUUGUUGGUGGGGUAGUGGCUUACCAAGGCUUUGACGGGUAGCCGGCCUGAGAGGGUGACCGGCCACAGUGGGACUGAGAUACGGCCCAGACUCCUACGGGAGGCAGCAGUGGGGAAUAUUGCACAAUGGGCGGAAGCCUGAUGCAGCAACACCGCGUGCGGGAUGACGGCCUUCGGGUUGUAAACCGCUUUCGCCUGUGACGAAGCGUGAGUGACGGUAAUGGGUAAAGAAGCACCGGCUAACUACGUG
rnacentral:rRNA from 1 species